rnacentral:rRNA from 1 species
UAGUAUGGGGAUCUGCCCGAUAGAGGGGGAUAACUACUGGAAACGGUGGCUAAUACCGCAUAAUGUCUACGGACCAAAGCAGGGGCUCUUCGGACCUUGCACUAUCGGAUGAACCCAUAUGGGAUCAGCUAGUAGGUGGGGUAAAGGCUCACCUAGGCGACGAUCUCUAGCUGGCCUGAGAGGAUGAUCAGCCACACUGGGACUGAGACACGGCCCAG